CUUUAGAUAUGAUCCAGAGUACCACGGGACACGUGAAACCCUGUGGGAAGCAGGAGGGACCACCCUCCAAGGCUAAAUACUACCUAGUGACCGAUAGCGUAUAGUACCGUGAGGGAAAGGUGAAAAGAACCCCGGGAGGGGAGUGAAAUAGAACCUGAAACCCUGCACUUACAAGCUGUGGAAGCACAUUUCUUGUGUGACCGCGUACUUUUUGUAGAACGGGCCAACGAGUUACGUUAAGUAGCAAGGUUAAGCACUUAAGGUGUGGAGCCGUAGCGAAAGCGAGUUUUAACUGAGCGUUCAGUUACUUGACGUAGACCCGAAACCGGGCGACCUACCCAUGAGCAGGAUGAAGCGAAAGUAAAAUUUCGUGGAGGUCCGAACCCACGAGCGUUGAAAAGCUCGGGGAUGACUUGUGGGUAGCGGUGAAAUUCCAAUCGAGCCCGGAGAUAGCUGGUUCUCCCCGAAAUAGCUUUAGGGCUAGCCUCAAGGUGAGAGAUACGGAGGUAGAGCACUGAAUGUCCUAGGGGGUAUUGCACCUACCGAAGACUAUCAAACUCCGAAUGCCGUCAUCUUAUACUUGGGAGUCAGACUGUGGGUGAUAAGAUUCAUAGUCGAAAGGGCAACAGCCCAGAUCGUCAGCUAAGGUCCCUAAAUGUAAGUUAAGUGGUAAAGGAUGUGGGAUUGCACAGACAACCAGGAUGUUGGCUUAGAAGCAGCCACUCAUUCAAAGAGUGCGUAAUAGCUCACUGGUCGAGUGAUCCUGCGCCGAAGAUUUCCGGGGCUAAAACUUACUACCGAAGCUACGGCAUCAUUAUGAUGGGUAGGGGAGCUUCCCAUACGGGUUGAAGCAUGACCGUAAGGACAUGUGGACAGUAUGGGAGUGAGAAUGUUGGCAUGAGUAGCGAGAUGUGGGUGAGAAUCCCACAGGCCGUAAACCCAAGGUUUCCAGGGGAAGGUUCGUCCGCCCUGGGUUAGUCGGGACCUAAGCUGAGGCCGAAAGGCGUAGGUGAUGGACAACAGGUUGAUAUUCCUGUACUACCGAUAACCGUUUGAGAGAUGGGAUGACACAGUAGGAUAAGCUAAGCACACUGUUGGUUAUGUGUGCCCAAGCAUUGAGGCAGUCAGAGUAGGUAAAUCCGCUUUGAUAAUGCUGGGAUGUGAUGGGGAGCGAAAUUUAGUAGCGAAGUAGCUGAUUUCACACUGUCAAGAAAAGUCUCUAUCGAGGUUAAAGGUACCCGUACCGCAAACCGACACAGGUGGGUGAGGAGAGUAUCCUAAGGCCCGCGAGAGAACUGUUGUUAAGGAACUCGGCAAAAUGACCCCGUAACUUAGGGAUAAGGGGUGCCACCAUCCGGUGGCCGCAGAGAAUAGGCCCAAGCGACUGUUUACCAAAAACAUAGGUUUCUGCUAAGUCGCAAGACGAUGUAUAGGAGCUGACGCCUGCCCGGUGCUGGAAGGUUAAGGGGAUCUGUUAGAGCAAUCGAAGCAGUGAACUUAAGCCCCAGUAAACGGCGGCCGUAACUAUAACGGUCCUAAGGUAGCGAAAUUCCUUGUCGGGUAAGUUCCGACCCGCACGAAAGGCGUAACGAUUUGGGCACUGUCUCAACAACAGACUCGGUGAAAUUGUAAUUCCGGUGAAGAUGCCGGAUACCUGCGACAGGACGGAAAGACCCCAUGGAGCUUUACUGUAGCUUGACAUUGGGUCUUGGUACUACAUGUACAGGAUAGGUGGGAGGCUUUGAAACCAGGACGCCAGUUUUGGCGGAGCCAUCCUUGGGAUACCACCCUUGUAGUACUGGGACUCUAACCAUAGGCCAUGAAUCUGGUCUUGGGACACUGUCAGGUGGGCAGUUUGACUGGGGCGGUCGCCUCCCAAAAGGUAACGGAGGCGCUCAAAGGUUCUCUCAGUACGGUCGGAAAUCGUACGUAGAGUGUAAAGGCAAAAGAGAGCUUGAUUGCAAGACAUACAGGUCGAGCAAGGAUGAAAAUCGGACUUAGUGAUCCGGUGGUUCUGCGUGGAAGGGCCAUCGCUCAACGGAUAAAAGCUACCCUGGGGAUAACAGGCUUAUCUCCCCCAAGAGUCCACAUCGACGGGGAGGUUUGGCACCUCGAUGUCGGCUCAUCACAUCCUGGGGCUGUAGUAGGUCCCAAGGGUUGGGCUGUUCGCCCAUUAAAGUGGUACGCGAGCUGGGUUCAGAACGUCGUGAGACAGUUCGGUCCCUAUCCGUCGCAGGCGUAGGAAAUUUGAGAAGACCUGUCCUUAGUACGAGAGGACCGGGAUGGACGUACCUCUGGUGUACCAGUUGUUCUGCCAAGGGCAUGGCUGGGUAGCUAUGUACGGAAUGGAUAAGCGCUGAAAGCAUCUAAGCGCGAAGCCAACUUCAAGAUAAGAUUUCCCACCGCAAGGGUAAGACCCCAGAAAGACUAUCUGGUUGAUAGGUCGAAGGUGUAAGUGCAGCAAUGUAUUUAGCUUAUCGAUACUAAUAGGUCGAGGACUUGACCAA
rnacentral:rRNA from 1 species